rnacentral:misc_RNA from 1 species
GAUGAAGAACGUAGCGAAAUGCGAUAAGUAAUGUGAAUUGCAGAAUUCAGUGAAUCAUCGAAUCUUUGAACGCACAUUGCGCCCUCUGGUAUUCCGGGGGGCAUGCCUGUUCGAGCGUCAUUACAACCCUCAAGCUUUGCUUGGUAUUGGACAUUGCCAGUUUCUGGCAGGUCUUAAAAUCAGUGGCGGUGCCAUUUGGCUUCAAGCGUAGUAAUUCUUCUCGCUUUGGAGAUCCAGGUGGUUACUUGCCAAUAACCCCCAAUUUUUUCAGGUUGACCUCGGAUCAGGUAGGGAUACCCGCUGAACUUAAGCAUAUCAAUAAGCGGAGA